GGAUGCAUGACGCAGCCAGGUAGCGUGCCGGGCUUUUAACCCGUAAGUCGGGGGUUCGAUAGAAUAUGAUUGUAUGCAUUUUCUGAAUACAUCCCCCUGCGUCCG
rnacentral:tRNA from 1 species